rnacentral:rRNA from 1 species
AGCAGCCGCGGUAAUUCCAGCUCCAAUAGCGUAUAUUAAAGUUGCUGCAGUUAAAAAGCUCGUAGUUGAAUUUCGGGAUCAAUAUGUUGGUCGUGCCUCGGUACGUACUAGCUUAUUGGUUUCUUCCUUCUGACGAACCAUAAUGUCAUUUAUUUGGUGUUAUGGGGAAUCAGGACUGUUACUUUGAAAAAUUAGAGUGUUUAAAGCAGGCUCACGCUUGAAUACAUUAGUAUGGAAUAAUGAAAUAGGACGUUUGAUUCUAUUUUGUUGGCUUCUAGGAUCGACGUAAUGAUUAAUAGGGAUAGUUGGGGGCAUUAGUAUUCAAUUGUCAGAGGUGAAAUUCUUGGAUUUAUUGAAGACUAACUACUGCGAAAGCAUUUGCUAAGGAUGUUUUCAUUAAUCAAGAACGAAAGUUAGGGGAUCGAAGACGAUCAGAUACCGUCGUAGUCUUAACCAUAAACUAUGCCGACUAGGGAUCGGAUGAUGUUAAUUUUUAAUGUACUCAUUCGGCGCCUUACGG